GUAGCUGUCCCCUUUUAACCGGGGGGCAUGUGCACGCCUUCUCUUUUCAUCCAUACACACACCUGUGAACUUGUGAGACGGAUUUCGACCCUCUCCGGGGGGGAAAGGUCCGUCUGCUAUACAUAAACUCCUGAAUAAUAAAUUAGAAUGUAAUCGAUGUAACGCAUCUUUAAACUAAGUUUCAACAACGGAUCUCUUGGCUCUCGCAUCGAUGAAGAACGCAGCGAAAUGCGAUAAGUAAUGUGAAUUGCAGAAUUCAGUGAAUCAUCGAAUCUUUGAACGCACCUUGCGCUCCUUGGUAUUCCUCGGAGCAUGCCUGUUUGAGUAUCAUGAAAUCUUCAAAAUAAAUCUUUUGUUCACUCGAUUGAUUUUAUUUUGGACUUGGAGGCUUGCAGAUUCACGUCUGCUCCUCUUAAAUUUAUUAGCUGGAUCUCGGUGAGCUCGGUUCCACUCGGCGUGAUAAGUAUCACUCGCUGAGGACACUGUAAAAGGUGGCCGGGAUUGCGGAUGAACCGCUUCUAAUAGUCCAUUGACUUGGACAAUAAAUACUUUAUGAUCUGAUCUCAAAUCAGGUAGGACUACCCGCUGAACUUAAGCAUAUCAAUAAGCGGAGGAAAAGAAACUAACAAGGAUUCCC
rnacentral:rRNA from 1 species